rnacentral:ncRNA from 1 species
UGGUGCCCGGCCCGCGCGGGUCGGCUGAAAAGGGAACGCGGUGCGCCCCCGGGCAAUUCCGCGGCUGCCCCCGCAACUGUGAGCGGUGAGCGAGGCCGGACCACGCCACUGGGCCCGAGGCCCGGGAAGGCCCGGCGGAGCGACGACCCGCGAGCCAGGAGACCUGCCAUCUC